CUUCCUUCCUUCCUUCUUUCUUUCUUUCUUUCCUUCCUUCCUUCCUUCCGCCCUCCCUCCCUCCCUCACUCCCUUAUUUCCUUCCUUCCAUCCUUCCUUCCUUCGUGCCUUCCUUCCUUCCAUCCUUCUUUCCUUCCUGCCUUCCUCCCUGCCUCCCUUCCUUCCCUUUUGCAGAAGGCUGAGGCUAAUGUGAACUUAACAAAAGCUGCCCAGUUAUGCUUCAACCUCACUAAUGUGUCAAGGUCGACAUUUCAGAGGGUGGUAUGGACAGAAGGGUUCUAAGCCAGUCUGAUUGACCACUGGGGCAGGUUGGGGUCCUUGAGUUCACUAGAUUCUGCGUCCAAAGAACCAAGUGGCCACAAGACCUGGAGAGGAUGAGAACAAAGGUCCAGGUCUGCCUUAAUGUCAAACACCAACUGCCAGAAUGAAGGAGAUUUAAGUGCAUGGAGCUCCUGCUCCCCUUCUGUUUAGUCCUUUUUCCUUUGAACCAAGUGCAUCCUUUUUAUAUCUACAUUUAGAAAGGACUGUGCCAAUUUGCUGUGAAGACAGUGCUGUAACAUUGCAGAAAGUCUUCUGAUGUGACCAUCAGUGUUUCCCAAGUGACAAACUGAGUCACAAAAAGGAAUUUACUCAAGCUAUUGAAGUGAAAACUGCUUUGAAAGGCAAAACUCCUGAGGUCAGAUCUGUCUCUCUGACUGAAGGGAAGGAAAUGAACGGAACCCCUUGAAGCAAAGUUGUGUAUUUCCAUUCAGAAGAGGAACAUUCUACCUCUCUCUUGUGAGAGCGGUGGAUUCCUGGUCCCUGAAAGCAUUGGAACAUGGGCCAAGUAACUACUUGGUGAGCCAUUGUAAAGGAAAUUCAAGGGGUACCAUGAGGAUUGGGUUUCACAAGCCUCAAAGUCCUUCCCAAGUCUGAGCAUCUCAGCGGCUGCUGGACUAUCUUUCCGGGUUUUGCCUUCACCUUGGUCACCAGGAUUGCGACACGCUUUUGGGCACUAUUCACAACAGCCAAG
rnacentral:lncRNA from 1 species